rnacentral:rRNA from 1 species
GGACUACUGGGGUUUCUAAUCCUGUUUGAUCCCCACGCUGUCGCGCAUGAGCGUCAGAAACGGGCCAGUGAGCCGCCUUCGCCACCGGUGUUCUUCCCAAUAUCUACGAAUUUCACCUCUACACUGGGAAUUCCACUCACCUCUCCCGUACUCGAGCCAAACAGUUUCAAUGGCAAUUCCGGAGUUGAGCUCCGGGCUUUCACCACUGACUUGGAUGGCCGCCUGCGCGCGCUUUACGCCCAGUAAUUCCGAACAACGCUAGCCCCCUUCGUAUUACCGCGGCUGCUGGCAC